AAUUUGGAUUUGAAACCAGCAGAAAGUCAUUGAGUGUCACUAUAAAUUUCCCCAUUUUGUGGUACACAAGCCCCUCCACAGCCUAGCCCACCCUUAUUUUUUGCUAUAAGCAUUCCUGAUCCCUAGGUUUCUGCCAGAAAGAGUGGACAGUCCCCUCUCUUUGCCUUUUCCCAUGGCCAUCCAUCCCAACUUAAAAAAAAUCUCCAAGCCAUUUGGUACUGCUGUUGCCUCCAUCUAGAAUUCUCUGGUCCAGGCGGUCAGAUCCUGUCCGUUCCCCAACACCCGGCUCGAACGCCACGCCCUCACGGGUUGGAGGAGAAUGGGGGAAGUCAGUCAGGAGCAAUCCCUUCUCAGAAAUCCUGCAGCUCUUCGCCUGAACUUAUUUUGGGACAAUAAUCUCUUCCUACCUGCUAUAUGAGUGAUCUUUGUUGUUAAGAGUUGUUUUUGCCCUUAAGAGUUACUUUUGUCCUCGUUUUAUGGAUGGGAUUCAUGUUCCUCCAGGUGAUCCUAAUACUGUUUCCAGCUGCCUGAAUAUUUUCCUCUUGCAAAUCUUUUGAACCGAAGACUCCACCUUUGUCUCCACUUCUUACCUCCCACCUUCAACUUCUUGUCUGCUCUGACAUCACGUGCUGUGAAUGCUGCGGAUGCUACACUCACUCUUCUCUGUGUUUGGUCUCCAAUGACCCGUGAUUGGACAUACACAGACUGAGCACUUCCAGGGAUAUUCUGCCAAUGUGGGAUAGGAGGAAAGCAGAGCUUUUUGCAACUGGACACAUCCCUGGGACACAGAGGAUGUCUUCAUGCACUGAGCGUGGUUCCUGUGUGAAGAACGUGACUCUGGACAAGACAGCUCUGCAGUUGAGACAGACCCUGAAGGAGCUGGAGGCUACCUGCUGACCACUCUUCCCAGCAGCUGAGAAGUGAGUCAUUUUUUGGAGUGGGAUCUUGGUGACAAACCUCCAUGUCUAUCAAAAAAAACAGUGAAAGGACUGACGAUCUUCAAAGCCAGGCAAGCAAGAAACCACUCUGCUCCCAACUGCAAAAAGCCUGUAAGACAAAUUAUUUCUAAAGCUGACAAUUCUGCCCUAACACAAGAUGGUUCCAUCACCUCGAGUUGGACUAAGGAGGAAAGAGAAAUCUUCUAGGAAAUACUUCAUGGUUUCAAGGAUUCUUGAGCAAGGAUUGCCAGAGAACAUUCCUAAAGAUGUGUAUAGGCAGUUCAGUCUUGCUCGCAUGACUUUCUCUAAGACACACCAGCCCCCAUGAUCCAACUGUUUCCCUUGUAAUGUUGGUUAAAAUCAGAGAUUCUCAUGCCAAGUCUGAAUGAGUUAAAUAAAGAUGCAUUUUUGUGAUGCUGUAUCUACUGGUCUUUAAUGGACUACUAACAAGUGGGAAUGAAAGUGGGUCACCCUGCCCUAGGAAGCUGGCCCUAGGGAGGCCUAGUAGCCACCUGGUUUAAU